rnacentral:rRNA from 1 species
AGAGUUUGAUCCUGGCUCAAAACGAACGCUGGCGGCGUGGAUAAGACAUGCAAGUCGAGCGCGACUUUGCUGGUAACAAUAUCAGUAAUGUUGAGCGGCGCAGGGGUGCGUAACACGUGGGUAAUUUGCCGUGAAGACUGGGAUAAUCCCAAGAAAUCGGGACUAAUACCGGAUGUGGUUAAGGAGAGGUUUUUUUUUUUAACUAGGGGUGGGGACCGCAAGGCCUGCCGUUUCACAAUAACCCCGCGGCCUAUCAGCUAGUUGGUUGAGGUAACGGCUCACCAAGGCUAAGACGGGUAGCUGGUCUGAGAGGACCACCACCCACACUGGAACUGACACACGGUCCACACACCUACGGGUGGCAGCAGUCAAUAUUUUUUCUCGGUGGGGGAAACCCUGAAGGACCCACGCCGCGUGGGGGAUGAAGGGCUUCGGCUCGUACACCCCUGUCAUUUGCGAACAAGGUUUACGGUUUAACAGAUCGUGGAUUGAUAGUAGCGAAAGAGGAAGGGACGGCUAUCUCUGUGCCAGCAGCCGCGGUAAUACAGAGCUCCCAAGCGCUGUUCUUAUUCACUGGGCGUAAAGGGUGCGUAGGUGGCUACUUUAAGUUUGAUGUGAAAGCUCCGGGCUCAACCCCGGAUAUGGUAUUGAAGACUAUUGAGCUAGAUGGUUUGGGAGGGGGCGGACUGGAAAUACUUGGUGUAGCAGUGAAAUGCAUA